GUUGGGUUUAAGUCCCGGCAACUGAGCCGCCAUCCUCGUUUGUUAGUUGCCAGCAUUAAGAUGGGCACUCUAGAGAGACUGCCGGUGACAAACCGGAGGAAGGUGGGGAUGACGUCAAGUCAGCAUGCCCCUUACGUCUGUGGGCUACACACGUACUACAAUGGUACGGACAAAGGGCAGCUACACAGCGAUGUGAUGAGAAUCUCAUAAAUCGUAGCUCAGUUCAGAUUGAAGGCUGCAACUCGCCUUCGUGAAGGAGGAUUCGCUAGUAAUUGCAGGUCAGCAUACUGCAGUGAUUAGUUUCCGGUCCUUGUACACACCUCCCUUCCCACCAUGGAAGUUGGUCAGCUCGGAAGUCGUUACCCCAACGCAAGGGGGGGGAUCCUAAGGUAG
rnacentral:rRNA from 1 species